UAUCGGAACGUGCCCAGUCGUGGGGGAUAACUGCUCGAAAGAGCAGCUAAUACCGCAUACGACCUGAGGGUGAAAGCGGGGGAGUCGCAAGACCUCGCGCGAUUGGAGCGGCCGAUAUCAGAUUAGGUAGUUGGUGAGGUAAAGGCUCACCAAGCCGACGAUCUGUAGCUGGUCUGAGAGGACGACCAGCCACACUGGGACUGAGACACGGCCCAG
rnacentral:rRNA from 1 species